rnacentral:rRNA from 1 species
ACUCCUACGGGAGGCAGCAGUGGGGAAUAUUGCACAAUGGGCGAAAGCCUGAUGCAGCAACGCCGCGUGAGGGACGACGGCCUUCGGGUUGUAAACCUCUUUUAGUAGGGAAGAAGCGAAGUGUUUUACACGGAGUGGCGGUACCUGCAGAAAAAGCACCGGCUAACUACGUGCCAGCAGCCGCGGUAAUACGUAGGGUGCAAGCGUUAUCCGGAAUUAUUGGGCGUAAAGAGCUCGUAGGCGGUUUGUCACGUCUGCUGUGAAAACUGGAGGCUCAACCUCCAGCCUGCAGUGGGUACGGGCAGACUAGAGUGCGGUAGGGGAGAUUGGAAUUCCUGGUGUAGCGGUGGAAUGCGCAGAUAUCAGGAGGAACACCAAUGGCGAAGGCAGAUCUCUGGGCCGUAACUGACGCUGAGGAGCGAAAGCAUGGGGAGCGAACAGGAUUAGAUACCCUGGUAGUCCAUGCCGUAAAACGUUGGGAACUAGAUGUAGGGACCAUUCCACGGUUUCUGUGUCGCAGCUAACGCAUUAAGUUCCCCGCCUGGGGAGUACGGCCGCAAGGCUAAAACUCAAAGGAAUUGACGGGGGCCCGCACAAGCGGCGGAGCAUGCGGAUUAAUUCGAUGCAACGCGAAGAACCUUACCAAGGCUUGACAUAUACCGGAAAAGUUCAGAAAUGUUCUCCCCGCAAGGUCGGUAUACAGGUGGUGCAUGGUUGUCGUCAGCUCGUGUCGUGAGAUGUUGGGUUAAGUCCCGCAACGAGCGCAACCCUCGUUCUAUGUUGCCAGCACGUAAUGGUGGGAACUCAUAGGAGACUGCCGGGGUCAACUCGGAGGAAGGUGGGGAUGACGUCAAAUCAUCAUGCCCCUUAUGUCUUGGGCUUCACGCAUGCUACAAUGGCCGAUACAAAGGGCUGCAAUACCGCAAGGUGGAGCGAAUCCCAAAAAGUCGGUCUCAGUUCGGAUUGAGGUCUGCAACUCGACCUCAUGAAGUCGGAGUCGCUAGUAAUCGCAGAUCAGCAACGCUGCGGUGAAUACGUUCCCGGGCCUUGUACACACCGCCCGU